rnacentral:rRNA from 1 species
UACGAGAGGCCCAAACGUUAUUCGGAUUUACUGGGCUUAAAGAGUUCGUAGGCGGUUCGGUAAGUGAGGUGUGAAAGCCCUCGGCUCAACCGAGGAAUUGCGCUUCAAACUGCCGGGCUCGAGGGAGAUAGAGGUGAGCGGAACUGAUGGUGGAGCGGUGAAAUGCGUUGAUAUCAUCAGGAACACCAGUGGCGAAGGCGGCUCACUGGACCGUUGUUGACGCUGAGGUGCGAAAGCGUGGGGAGCAAACAGG